GUCCGCGUGGCCUAGUGGAUAAGGCGUCUUAAUUCGGAUCAGAAGAUUGCAGGUUCGAGUCCUGUCGCGGACG
rnacentral:tRNA from 1 species